UACCAAAUCUUGACAUCCUCUGACCCCUCUAGAGAUAGAGUUUUCCCCUUCGGGGGACAGAGUGACAGGUGGUGCAUGGUUGUCGUCAGCUCGUGUCGUGAGAUGUUGGGUUAAGUCCCGCAACGAGCGCAACCCUUAAGCUUAGUUGCCAUCAUUAAGUUGGGCACUCUAAGUUGACUGCCGGUGACAAACCGGAGGAAGGUGGGGAUGACGUCAAAUCAUCAUGCCCCUUAUGAUUUGGGCUACACACGUGCUACAAUGGACAAUACAAAGGGCAGCGAAACCGCGAGGUCAAGCAAAUCCCAUAAAGUUGUUCUCAGUUCGGAUUGUAGUCUGCAACUCGACUAUAUGAAGCUGGAAUCGCUAGUAAUCGUAGAUCAGCAUGCUACGGUGAAUACGUUCCCGGGUCUUGUACACACCGCCCGUCACACCACGAGAGUUUGUAACACCCGAAGCCGGUGGAGUAACCAUUUGGAGCUAGCCGUCGAAGGUGGGACAAAUGAUUGGGGUGAAGUCGUAACAAGGUAGCC
rnacentral:rRNA from 1 species